rnacentral:rRNA from 1 species
GUGAGAUGGAUCCGCGUCUGAUUAGCCAGUUGGCGGGGUAACGGCCCACCAAAGCGACGAUCAGUAGCCGACCUGAGAGGGUGACCGGCCACAUUGGGACUGAGACACGGCCCAAACUCCUACGGGAGGCAGCAGUGGGGAAUAUUGCACAAUGGGCGCAAGCCUGAUGCAGCGACGCCGCGUGAGUGAAGAAGUAUCUCGGUAUGUAAAGCUCUAUCAGCAGGGAAGAAAAUGACGGUACCUGACUAAGAAGCCCCGGCUAACUACGUGCCAGCAGCCGCGGUAAUACGUAGGGGGCAAGCGUUAUCCGGAUUUACUGGGUGUAAAGGGAGCGUAGACGGCGACGCAAGUCUGGAGUGAAAGCCCGGGGCCCAACCCCGGGACUGCUUUGGAAACUGUGCUGCUGGAGUGCAGGAGAGGUAAGUGGAAUUCCUAGUGUAGCGGUGAAAUGCGUAGAUAUUAGGAGGAACACCAGUGGCGAAGGCGGCUUACUGGACUGUAACUGACGUUGAGGCUCGAAAGCGU